UUACCUGGGCGUAAGCGUGCGUAGGUCGGUUUUGUAAGACAGGAGGUGAAAUCCCCGGGCUCAACCUGGGAACUGCCUUUGUGACUGCAAGGCUGGAGUGCGGCAGAGGGGGAUGGAAUUCCGCGUGUAGCGGUGAAAUGCGUAGAUAUGCGGAGGAACACCGAUGGCGAAGGCAAUCCCCUGGACCUGUACUGACGCUCAUGCGCGAAAGCGUGGGGAGCAAACAGGAUUAGAUACCCUGGUAGUCCACGCCCUAAACGAUGUCAACUGGUUGUUGGGAAUUUUGUUUCCUUAUAACGAAGCUAACGCGUGAAGUUGACCCCCUGGGGAGUACCGGCGCAAGGGUUAAACUCAAAUGGAAUUUACGGG
rnacentral:rRNA from 1 species